UUUGAACCUACCACUACAAAACAUUAAAAAAUAAAAAUUUAUUACUUAAAAAAAACCAACUUCAUAUAAUAGCAAAACUUUUACUCACCUUUAGGUUUCCGGACGCCAUUGCAACUGCAAAUAUUUCAUACAAAUACAUCAAUGGUGGAUUAGGGUUCAAAAAGCACAAAAAAAAUUAAAUAAAACAAAAAUAAAGUACGCUUCCACAAGCCACACAAUGCGAUAUAAAGCAAAUACUCGAAAGGCACAAAG
rnacentral:lncRNA from 1 species